UACGAAGGGGGCUAGCGUUGUCCGGAUUUAUUGGGCGUAAAGAGCGUGUAGGCGGCCAGAUAGGUCAGCUGUGAAAACUCGAGGCUCAACCUCGAGACGUCGGUUGAAACCAUCUGGCUAGAGUCCGGAAGAGGAGAGUGGAAUUCCCGGUGUAGCGGUGAAAUGCGCAGAUAUCGGGAAGAACACCCGUGGCGAAGGCGGCCAUCUGGGACAACACUGACGCUGAGGCACGAAAGCGUGGGGAGCAAACAGG
rnacentral:rRNA from 1 species